UAGGGAAUCUUCGGCAAUGGACGAAAGUCUGACCGAGCAACGCCGCGUGAGUGAAGAAGGUUUUCGGAUCGUAAAACUCUGUUGUUAGAGAAGAACAAGGACGUUAGUAACUGAACGUCCCCUGACGGUAUCUAACCAGAAAGCCACGGCUAACUACGUGCCAGCAGCCGCGGUAAUACGUAGGUGGCAAGCGUUGUCCGGAUUUAUUGGGCGUAAAGCGAGCGCAGGCGGUUUCUUAAGUCUGAUGUGAAAGCCCCCGGCUCAACCGGGGAGGGUCAUUGGAAACUGGGAGGCUUGAGUGCAGAAGAGGAGGAUGGAAUUCCAUGUGGAGGGGUGAAAUGCAUAGAUAUAUGGAGGAACACCAGUGACGAAGGCGGCUCUCUGGUCUGUAACUGACGCUGAGGCUCGAAAGCGUGGGGAGCAAACAGG
rnacentral:rRNA from 1 species